GCAGCAGAAGGAGGAGGGGUAGAAGAAGAUGGCAGCCUGGUCUCCAGAGAGAAAAUGAGUUCCCGAAUCUACUACAGGUAAAUCAGCAAGUGGACCUCCAGCACACAGAAUGUUGGUGAAUUUUUAAAAAGCUUGAGACAAGGCUCUGCCAUAAAGUCCACAUAGAUUAUUACUGUGGGAUUGGAAGAAGUAUCUGGUUCUGAAUACAAAAACUGACUGAAAUCCAAAGGUAGGAAAGAAAGGUCAUUUCUUGGGUCAAGAAGUUUUAAAAGGUCUCCUUGGAGAUGAGUGCUAAGACUAGCCUUGUAAGGUGGCUGAGGAGACAUGACCUCCCUAGGUUUGUCAGCAGAGAUUUUCAGGAGAGAAAACUGCCUAGCCUUUGGGAAUAAGCUGCUGAAGGUUCUUAUUAGGCUUUUUAAGUGGAGAGAGAAAUGAUAAAUAAGCUACUUUGUGAGCCAGAAUGUGUGUACUGUGUUUAGGGGGAAAUAGUCUGAAUUUUUCUUAAAAAGUAAACUGUUACAAUCCAGGAAAAGGUCCUGGAAGCCACUGACAGUUGGAAAAAUUAGCCCAUCAUGCCACCGUGGCCAAAGAGGCCAGCACCUCACUGGGCAAAAUCAGGGCAACAGGAAACAACUCCAGACUCUGGGCUGUUCUCGUUUGCAGCACAUGUAGUUUCCGGUGUUUCUGUUGAGAAAGGUAAAACUCUAGCAGUUGUGUAGAAGAGGAUGAAUGAAAUGAUCGUGGCAAUGAGUGGAUUUGUAUGAGCUGGACCACGGAGGUUCAGACUCACAGUUAAGAAUAAAAAAAUUGGGUGUUUCUGUGUAGAGAACAUAACAGAUGUGCUGUGACUAGCCAAUGUGAAUUUUCACCAAAUACUAGAACAUACCACUUGAAGCCAGAAAGAGAUGACUGAAGAACAAAUGGAAGAAAGUACUCUGUGAAGAUACACAGUUUUUCUAACUGAAGGCACUAAGAGGUGGUAGAAACAGAGUGAAGGCUCAGUCCAGGACUGCAGUCGAGGUGGAGUGCCACCCACCUUUUGCAGAUACUCUGAGAGGCCAGCCCUCUGCAGAGUGGUCCCGGGAGAAGCCUGAUCCCACCCCGGAGUGUACAUCUCACAUGGGGAAGAAAGCUGUCCUUUGUGAAAUGAUCCAAGUCAGCACCCCUUACUCUGCCGCAUUUUCACUCUUGGAGGUACAUGCUCUACGACUGACUGGCAAUGAGUAUGGGAAAACGUAUCCAGUCUGAAGAUGUCUGUGUAUCUGUUUACAUCCAGAGUUCUGUGACAUGUGCCCCUGCCCUCCCCUCCCCUGGACCGCUGCCAAGGAAUUGAUUGCACUUGAUUAAGCUUUUCUCUGUAGGUGAAAGAACAAGUUUAGGUCGGGGCCUGGCCCCUCGGCUGCUGCUGUGACCCUUGUCCCCAUGUGGCUCAUUUCCUGGCCCAUGACUCUGGUGUGCCCAGGGAGAGCGGUGUUGCCACCUUUUCCACACUGUCCUGCAGUCUGUGUAUGUUCGCCUGAGAGAAGAGUGGCUGUAACUACAAGUGAAACCUGCCUGGGAUAGUCGAGCACCUGCACCCACGACUGCUUUUGGCCUUGAAAUGAGUUAAUGAAGACAGAGGAACUUUCUCCCCUCUUCCCUUCCCAAUGCCACAAAGUUGUGCAUCCUCUGGGAUAAGUAGGCUAGUUGAAACAUGGGACUAGAUCUUUUAGAGAAGACCCCUGCGAGUUUUGAGACCCCCCCCCCCCCGAACAACCCCUCCUCCCUUCCCCCACCUUGAUGCAGUGUUUGGACAGGAGGGUACGGUGCUGCUUCAUGCAGCAGAUACUUUGGCUUAUCAAAGAGGCAGCCAGGCAUUUUGCACUAGGAGGAAUCAGUGAUCACUUUUCAGAAGACUUCUAUGGACCACAAUUAUAUUGCGGAGGAACAGAUUUUGCUAAGACAUAAUCUAGUUUUAUAACUCAAUCAUGGAUCAACCAUAUGUGGCUAACUUGCAGUUUAAAAGGGUCCCAUCAGUGAAAAACAGAUUUUUUUUUAACUGAUUGCUUUUAGUUAAAUUUAAGAAAGUCAUCUCUUGUCAAAAGGUUUCAACCUUCCCGCCUCAACUUAAAAGCAUGUCAAACAAUCCACAUCAGAUGCCAUAAACAUGAACUGCGAGAGAAAAUGGUACAAUCUUAGUGAAUGGGAAUUGGAAUCAAAAGGGUUUGCUGUCCUUCUUAGAAUGUUCUAAAAUGUCAAGGCAGUUGCUUGUGUUUAACUGUGAACAAAUAAAAAUUUAUUGUUUU
ensembl:lncRNA